CCCGAAACAAACAAAAAGGCUCGCCGCUCGUAUCCUUGUGAGCGAGCGGUGAAUCCUUCUGGCCGACUCAACUUGAAAUUAUGGUUCGAGUCUGGCGUCCAAGUCUUCCUUGCUCCGUUCGCGGGCUAGUGAGGGAGCACCGCAAACAAAAAUUUUGUAAACAAGAAAAAUUUUGAAAUGAAGCAAUAAACAAAGACAAAAAGACGAAAUAAAAACCUCGCGUGGUGAUCACUCGGCUCGUGGGUCGAUGAAGAACGCAGCUAACUGCGUGCAGACGUGUGAACACUGCAGGACACAUGAACACCGACAUUUUGAACGCACAUGGCGGCCUGAAAUAACAUUUCAGGCCCAUGUCUGGCUGAGGGUCGGAAACUAAACUAAAAGAAAGAUUGCUCAAGUGACGGGUCUUUGAGGACAUGGUUAGGGGAACUGUAGCGCAUCAACAGGUUUCUCGGUGUGUGACCAUGCGCAUGAGAUCAUUUACCGAAGCUAGACAAGGCUCGGCCAAGAUCGUUGAUUGUGCGUACAUGAGCGUAAAAUCUUCUAGUUAGUCCGACCUCAGCAGACAUGGCUGAAAUUAUUUCAGGCGCAUGUGCGUUCAAAUGUCUCGGUGCUUCAUGUGUCCUGCAGUUCGAGCACGUCUGCAAGCAGUAGCUGGUUGUACAUAGAACACGAUUGCAGAGUGAUCACCACUAGAGGUAUCAGUCUAUGUCUUGUAAUGC
rnacentral:misc_RNA from 1 species